rnacentral:rRNA from 1 species
GGGUGCGCCCAUAACAGCACUAACGCACCGGAUCCCAUCUGAACUCCGAAGUUAAGCGUGCUUCGGCGAGAGUAGUACUAGGAUGGGUUACCCCCUGGGAAGUCCUCGAGUUGCCCCCC